UACGGAGGGAGCUAGCGUUAUUCGGAAUUACUGGGCGUAAAGCGCACGUAGGCGGCUUUGUAAGUAAGAGGUGAAAGCCUGGAGCUCAACUCCAGAAUUGCCUUUUAGACUGCAUCGCUUGAAUCAUGGAGAGGUGAGUGGAAUUCCGAGUGUAGAGGUGAAAUUCGUAGAUAUUCGGAAGAACACCAGUGGCGAAGGCGGCUCACUGGACAUGUAUUGACGCUGAGACGCGAAAGCGUGGGGGAGCAAACAGG
rnacentral:rRNA from 1 species